GAUGAACGCUAGCGAUAGGCUUAACACAUGCAAGUCGAGGGGCAGCAUUAUCGGAGCUUGCUUUGAUAGAUGGCGACCGGCGCACGGGUGAGUAACACGUAUGCAACCUACCCUUAGGCGGGGGAUAACCCGGCGAAAGUCGGACUAAUACCGCGUAUAUGUAUUUGCUGCAUGGCAGAUACAAGAAAGAUUUAUUACCUAGGGAUGGGCCUGCGUUCCAUUAGUUAGUUGGUGAGGUAACGGCUCACCAAGACGACGAUGGAUAGGGGAGCUGAGAGGUUGACCCCCCACACUGGUACUGAGACACGGACCAGACUCCUACGGGAGGCAGCAGUGAGGAAUAUUGGUCAAUGGUCGAGAGACUGAACCAGCCAAGUCGCGUGAAGGACGACGGUUCUAUGGAUUGUAAACUUCUUUUAUAAGAGAGUAACCUCAUGUACGUGUACAUGACUGCAAGUAUCUUAUGAAUAAGCAUCGGCUAACUCCGUGCCAGCAGCCGCGGUAAUACGGAGGAUGCGAGCGUUAUCCGGAUUUAUUGGGUUUAAAGGGUGCUCAGGUUGCGGAUUAAGUCAGUGGUGAAAACAGAGGGCUCAACCGUCUGCUUGCCAUUGAAACUGGUUUGCUUGAGUGUACUCGACGUAUGCGGAAUGCGUGGUGUAGCGGUGAAAUGCUUAGAUAUCAUGCAGAACUCCGAUUGCGAAGGCAGCGUACGAGGGUAUAACUGACACUAAAGCACGAAAGCGUGGGUAUCAAACAGGAUUAGAUACCCUGGUAGUCCACGCAGUAACGAUGAUUACUACGAGUUUGCGAUAUACUGUGAGCUCGCGAAGCGAAAGCGU
rnacentral:rRNA from 1 species